rnacentral:rRNA from 1 species
UACGUAGGGUGCGAGCGUUAAUCGGAAUUACUGGGCGUAAAGCGUGCGCAGGCGGUUUUGUAAGCCAGAUGUGAAAUCCCCGGGCUUAACCUGGGAAUGGCAUUUGGGACUGCAAGGCUGGAGUGCGGCAGAGGAGACUGGAAUUCCUGGUGUAGCGGUGAAAUGCGCAGAUAUCAGGAGGAACACCGAUGGCGAAGGCAGGUCUCUGGGCCGAUACUGACGCUGAGGAGCGAAAGCGUGGGGAGCGAACAGG